UAUAUUGCUUAUGAAGACAUAGAUUUAACCACUGUCAUAUGGAUUACUUUUAUGCUGCCUUUAUGUGGUUUUUGGAGCUUGAAAGGUCAUACACAUCUGGGAUAGCAUGAGGGUGAGUAGAUGAGAAUUUUCAUUUUUGGUUGAACUAUCCCUUUAAUGUUGCUUCUUUCUGUUUUACACUUCCAUUCCAUCUUUCACACACAUGUUGGGAGACACGAGUUGGCCAGGAAAUGUGUAAACUGACUCUUUUUGACUUCUUGAUAACCAUCGCCACGCUAAUCCUGGUAGAAUUCCCACGCAGUGGCUGAAUCUACAGGAUUGUGGUGGAUCACCUCUCAUGUAAACUGGCACAGUGAGUUGGACGGCAAGUUUCUGGUUCCCCCAAAUGUCCUUGCUCUAGUUUAUGGUCAAAUAGUGGUUCGGACUAGGGCUCUUUUCUGUCCAUUGCUACCGGUCAUUAACACCGUCAAAUUCAUCCUGUUUUUUUACUGCAAAAGAUAACUCUGCUCCAGAACUGUCGACUGGCUCUGAGAAAUUUUUGAUCCACCAGCUCCAAUUUCUUCUUCCUCUUGGUGUUGCUCUUUGGAUAGUUGUUGGCCAGCGUGGUUCUCAUUUACAGCAUGGCUAAGAACAGCGUGACAAGCAGUUCCUGGUCAGACAAACUGAGGAGCUGAAUGCCACAAUGCAGAAGGAACAAAGUAAACCUCAGCAGCCCCAGAGAGAAACAGAGCCCAAGCAUUACAGCCAGAUAAAACUGCAGUGGAAUGGACACAACAAUUAUGCAUUUGACCCAGAUGAAGACCCAAGGCCAUUUUAAGACUAGGACUCAAAGUUCAGCAUUACGGACUCUAUAGUGCAAUAAACGGAAGAGGCUGUAUUCAGUGAUCUAAUAUUUCUGUAAGCAGAUUUUAAAUUAUUAUUAUUAAAGUUUCCUUAUUUUUAUUAUUUAGCUACAAUUUAUGUAUUUAGGCAUCCCAUUUUCCAGUAAAAAUUGCUGUAAUGCAUUAUUUACUUUUUUAUUUAUACUUUAUUUACUGCAAUAUAAUUUACAUUAGAAAUACUAGUGUCCACUAAGAAAUUAAAAUAAGGUGAAAAAAAUAAAGCUUAAGGUGUUAUAAUUUAUUUCCUUUACUUUAGUCUGCUGCAGUCUGUUGAAAGAGCAUCCCAUUAUUUUUGUCAAUGUCAAACCUUGAAAAUACUUAAUUUGCACACAUAUAUGGAUUGGGGUCUAAAAGUCUGAGACCACUAGUCUAUUUUGCAUUCAUUUUUGGUUUAUUACAAGUUUAAUUACAAAGUAUUUUAUUAGCAUGGGUGAAAAGUUUAAAAGAAACAUUUUCAAUCAUUUCAGAAUUUGGUGUGUGCUUUAAUGACAGCAUGUACUCAAGCUGGCAUUGAUUCCACAAUGUUGUACAAAACCUCAUUAUCCAUCUCAGCAUAUUUUAAGAAUGUUGCAAAGAGGAUCUUGUGUGCUUCAAUUGAAACAACUGUACAAAGAAGAUAACAUGGUCAGUGUGACAAAUGUGCUUAUAUUCGAUUAGUGACCUAGACAUUUUUUACCAGAAUUUAAAAUAUUUUCUUUCAAAAUGUUACGUUACAACUUGUAUUACAUUUUUCAAAAACCUAAAACUUUCUGGUUUAAAUGACAAUAAUACCAGAUUUUCCAUGUAUUCUCAGACCUUUGAACCCCAUUGUAUCUUAUUUAAAUUGUACCUAUAUUGUGAAAAUGAUAAUAAAAACGCAGUGAUCUACAGGCCUGUUUAAAGGAAUUUUCCAGGUUCAAUACAAGUUAAGCUCAGUUGACAUCAUUUGUGGCAUUAUGUUAAUUACCACAAAAAAUUAUUCUGACUCCUCCCUCUUUUUCUUUAAAUAAAGGCAAAAAUCAAGGUUACAUUUCACAGAAUGAAAGUGAAUGGGGCCAAUUUUUUUAAGGCGGAAAUGUGAAGCGUAUAAUUUUAUAAAAGCAUUAAUAAAUUAAUAACAUUAAUUCUUCUGUUAAAACUUGUGUAUUAUUUGAGCUGCAAAGUUGUCAUUUUAGUGUUAUAGGAUUUGUUGACAUUACAUCUUCAUGAAAUUUUAAAAUUGUCUAUAACUUUACACAGAAAAGGUUAGUACAUGAUUUUAUCACACUAAAAUCAUGUAAACACACAUAUUGUUUAUGUCUUGUGGCUAUAAUGUUAAAAUGGUGAGUAUUUUAACGUUUAUG